GACAGAGGGUGCAAACGUUGUUCGGAAUUACUGGGCGUAAAGCGAGUGUAGGCGGUCUUGAAAGUCGGAUGUGAAAGCCCUGGGCUCAACCCAGGAAGUGCAUUCGAUACUCCGAGGCUAGAGUACUGGAGAGGUGGGUGGAAUUCUCGGUGUAGAGGUGAAAUUCGUAGAUAUUCGCAAGAACACCAGUGGCGAAGGCGGCUCACUGGCCCGGUACUGACGCUGAGGUGCGAAAGCGUGGGGAGCAAACAGG
rnacentral:rRNA from 1 species